rnacentral:rRNA from 1 species
GAUGAACGCUGACAGAAUGCUUAACACAUGCAAGUCUUUGGCGAAGCUGUGCUUGCACAGCCUAGCCAAGGCGGACGGGUGAGUAACGCGUAAGGAACUUGCCCUGCAGUCAGGGAUAACAGACGGAAACGACUGAUAAGACCUGGUAAAGUCAGGCGGACUCAUGUCCAGCCUGAUGAAAAGUGAUGCUGCAGGAGAGCCUUGCGUCCUAUUAGCUUGUUGGUGGGGUAACGGCCCACCAAGGCGAUGAUAGGUAGCCGGCCUGAGAGGGUGGACGGCCAAAAGGGGAAUGAGAUGCAGCCCUUACUACUACGGGAGGCAGCAGUGGAGAAUAUUGGACAAUGGGGGCAACCCUGAUCCAGCAAUUCUGUGUGCACGAUGAAGGUUUUCGGAUUGUAAAGUGCUUUCAGCAGGGAAGAAAAAAAUGACGGUACCUGCAGAAGAAGCGACGGCUAAAUACGUG